rnacentral:misc_RNA from 1 species
AACGCACGAGACCUGCGGACCUGCGGAAGGAUCAUUAUAGAGUGGUAAACCCCCCGUAAAAGGGGGGGACCUCCUGUCCUUUGUAGGCUCUUUUUUAAAAGGGCUUUUUUUAAUUUUCUGCUUCGGUGGGGUUAUCCCACCGGAACAACCUCAAAACUCUUAUCAAAAAAUCGUUCUGUCUGAGAACCUUUUAUAAUAAAAAAAAACUUUUAACAACGGAUCUCUAGAUCGGAAGAGCAC